rnacentral:rRNA from 1 species
AUAUGGCUCAGGAUGAACGCUAGCGACAGGCUUAACACAUGCAAGUCGAGGGGCAGCAUAAAAGUAGCAAUACUUGGUGGCGACCGGCGCACGGGUGAGUAACGCGUAUGCAACCUACCUAUCAGAGGGGAAUAACCCGGCGAAAGUCGGACUAAUACCGCAUAAAACAGGGACACCGCAUGGUGAUAUUUGUUAAAGAAAUUCGCUGAUAGAUGGGCAUGCGUUCCAUUAGGUAGUUGGUGAGGUAACGGCUCACCAAGCCGACGAUGGAUAGGGGAACUGAGAGGUUGGUCCCCCACACUGGUACUGAGACACGGACCAGACUCCUACGGGAGGCAGCAGUGAGGAAUAUUGGUCAAUGGGCGAGAGCCUGAACCAGCCAAGUCGCGUGAAGGAAGAAGGAUCUAUGGUUCGUAAACUUCUUUUGCAGGGGAAUAAAGUGCAGGACGUGUCCUGUUUUGUAUGUACCCUGAGAAUAAGGAUCGGCUAACUCCGUGCCAGCCGCCGC